UUUCAGAUUACAGAAAUUAAAAAGAAAAUUUCUUCUUUCUUCUUUUAGGAUUAAUAUUCAAUAGCAUAGUGAAUUGCUCAAAAGCAAAAAAAGUAUAUGAAGUUCAUUAGAUCACAUUCAUUCUGUGUCAGAAACCUAUGCUGUGUCAACUAUUUAAUCACAAUCAAAAUUCAGAGCUGUAUCCAGCUUGAAUGUUGUGUCCAUACUUGCCCCAACCGUUCAGGGUUAGACCUCUGCGGUCGUAUAAAGCUGC
rnacentral:lncRNA from 1 species